rnacentral:misc_RNA from 1 species
UUAAGUUCAGCGGGUAGUCCUACCUGAUUUGAGAUCAAACAUUCAAAGAGCUGUCCUCACUGAGGAGAGACUUUUAUGAGCCCCAGUGAAUCUCCAUUGCUGAAGGUUACCUGGCGGAAAACCACAAGCGUAGAUAGUUAUCACACCUGUGACGCCACCAAACACCGGCAAGCUGAUUCAUUUGAGAGGAGCCGACCACA